GAGCAAAAUAUGACUUAAAAAGACGAUUUCAAACAAUUAAUUGUACAUUAAAUAUUACUGACAUUGACAGUUUUGAAUAAUGAAAUAAACCAUAGACCAUCAACCAAAGAAUAAACAAUAAACCCAAUUGGAGAACUCUUGUACAAAACGAUCAAUAAUUUACUUUAAUUUAAAAAAGUAAUUGCACUUGGGAGGAAGUUGACGCUUUAUGAGAACUUUCCAUCCAUGUUAUGUUUAAAGGAAAAGAAAGCCAAUAUUAUUUUUCUUAGCAAAAAAUUCUGUUUUACUCAGAAUGUGGACGUCAGUGAAUAAAGUGAAGGGCGUCCUUCCAGAAGUUGUGUUUUACAGUGAAAGGGGUUUGUGGGUUCAUUUUAUUUCUGUCUUAAUGAGGGUCACUCAGGCCAGUAAUGGAUUCUUUGGCCGUAGUAGUUGCUGCGGUCUUCCACAGUGAUGAUCUGACUUGACAUUUGAGAGGGUAUACCUCCUCUUGUGGGGACUGUGGGAGAUAAUGACUGCCAGAUUACAUCAACAGGCUACCAUGCCAACUGCUCAUUGAUGACACAUCCCAUGAUGCAAAGCUAUAAUAAAGCUCCCAUCAGUGGUGUCAUAGGACUUUCAAUGCUGGUUAUUUCUCCGCAACAGAUAGUUACCCAAUAAUUACAUUUUAAAGUUCACUGAGAGAUUUCCAUAAAGAUUUUAGAGACAUUAUCCUGUAUUUCAUGUCAGUUUUACUGAAAUAUAGUUCACCAUGUCAGUCUGAUGAAUCUCCCAUCGUGCUAUUGUUUGGUGCAGUUCAAAACAUAAAUUAGACUUUUAUGAAUUUGAAGUUAAUGUGACACUGACACCAACAAUCACUGUUUAUUUAUGAUAAAGAUGAUCAGAUUAAGAUGAUCAUGUUUUCACAUGUCUAUGUUGGACUGCCCUCUAUCACCAGUUCUGUUCAUAAACUUUGAUAGUGGAAAGAGUUUCUAGGCACAACCAGUGGCUGGAGGGGGUCUGGUUCUGUGGACUACAGGAUUUCCUCUCUGCUCUUUGCAGAUGAUGUUGUCCUGGUGGCUUCAUCAAGCCAGGUCCUCCAGCAGGCAUUGCGGCGGUUUGCCGCCGAGUGUGGAGCGGCUGGGAUGAAGGGCCGUGUUAUGACAGAGACUUCCCUCCCCGGAUGUAUGCAGUCGGCGCUGGUGUCAUGCCCUUAAGAGGUAUGAGGGCCCUCACCGUCCUGCCAGACCCACCCGGGCCGGGAGGAGGGGCUGCUGGAGGUUCUGCUCGCACCUUUCCUCUCCUGGCUGCUGUUGAUGGAAACUUAACGCAACCACACCAGAGGGACGAGGAUUCACCUGUAAAAUGUUCUCCUCAUGAGCCUUUGCAGAUGCUAAGAAUGGUAUUUACACGCCAGGAUUGUUUCCAAUUCUAGAAAAAGACUCCAACCUCACGCCAAUGUAAUUUCAAAUGGAAAACAAGGUCAAAGUUAUGAAAAAAAGUUGUUAAAGUAUAGGAAGAAAUGUCAAAAUUUUAAGUUGUUAAAGUGUGUGAAGAAGGUUGCAAGAAAGUACAAGAAAAAAAUCGUAAAUGUAUUAAAUGAAAAGUCAUUAUUUCACAAGCAGUUGUGCCUUUUCAGAAUAAAGUUCUAAUUUAAUUAAAAUA